GGAGUUGUGGCUCAGUGGUAGAGCGCUUGCCUAGCCCAUGCAAGGCCCUGGGUUCGAUCCUCAGCACCA
rfam:Ictidomys tridecemlineatus contig015871, whole genome shotgun sequence.